CAGAGCGGCAGUUGGGGUGUGGCGGCGGUGGGCGGCGGAGCUGAGGUCUGCUCUCCGCCGUGCCGGGGUCGGGCGCACGUCGGCGGGGGCGAACCCUUCGGUUUGGCCUGGCUGCUGCACGGGGGUGACCGUGAAGCUUCGGGGGCCUCCCACCCGUCCUCAGCCGCCUCGUCUUCAGCGCCGUCGGCUUCACGUUCAGGCCCUCCCAGCGCUGCGGGCACUGUGCCGGCUCCUCUGCUGCCCCCCGCGGGGACGUCCUGGUCAGCCGCCGGGUGGAAGGUGAAGGACGAGGUGCUGGGGCUGGUGACGCCGGAGGGAUGGCGAAGUGCGGAGGAUUCUGGCGUGUGUGGGGGGAGAGGGAAGCGCAGUCGCAGCCGCUGCUGUGUGCCGCAGCCGCUGGGGGGAUGUGGAUGUGCUGAGCGCCGAGCCCUGCCCUGGCUCCUCUGGGAGGACUUCUCCCUUCGACGACACCACCAUGGUGACCUGAUGAUCACACAGCGCUUCUCGGAGAGAGCAUUGGGCCAAAACCUAUCCCCAGCAGCUGAACCAUGCUCCUGAGGCACCACCACACCACACCAGGGCAGGAACUGCAGCAGCAGCCCUGCUGUGGAGGCUCCUGGGCUGGUGCUGGGGCCACUAUCAGCAAGAAGCUAAGCUAGGACAGCACACAGACUCCCUGAUGCCCACGCUCAGCACCUGCCACAAGUGACACCAGAACCACCCCACGGGGAAGCAGAGAGCAUCGGGGCUGAAGCCUUUCUGCCUCCUUGGUGCUCCUGCUGGCUGCAGAAUGAGCCCUGGCAGCCUUUCUUGGCUCAACAAAAGAUUCUUUCCCACUU